UUACGGCCACAUCAUGUUGAAACACCGGUUCCCGUACGAUCACCGAAGUUAAGCAACGUCGAGCCUGGUCAGUAAUUAGAUAGAUGACCGAUAGGGAAUACCAGUUAUUGUAAG
rnacentral:rRNA from 1 species